rnacentral:rRNA from 1 species
UACGAAGGGGGCUAGCGUUGCUCGGAAUCACUGGGCGUAAAGGGCGCGUAGGCGGCUUUGCAAGUGACGGGUGAAAGCCCUCGGCUUAACCGAGGAACUGCCUGUCAGACUGUGAGGCUUGAGACCGGGAGAGGUGAGUGGAAUUCCCAGUGUAGCGGUGAAAUGCGUAGAUAUUGGGAGGAACACCAGUGGCGAAGGCGGCUCACUGGACCGGAACUGACGCUGAGGAGCGAAAGCGUGGGGAGCGAACAGG